UUGAACGCUGGCGGCAUGCUUUACCCCUGCAAGUCGCACGGUAACAGGCCGCAAGGUGCUGACGAGUGGCGAACGGGUGAGUAAUGCAUCGGAACGUGCCCAGUCGUGGGGGAUAACUACUCGAAAGAGUAGCUAAUACCGCAUACGAUCUAUGGAUGAAAGCGGGGGACCGUAAGGCCUCGCGCGAUUGGAGCGGCCGAUGUCAGAUUAGGUAGUUGGUGGGGUAAAGGCUCACCAAGCCAACGAUCUGUAGCUGGUCUGAGAGGACGACCAGCCACACUGGGACUGAGACACGGCCCAGACUCCUACGGGAGGCAGCAGUGGGGAAUUUUGGACAAUGGGCGCAAGCCUGAUCCAGCAAUGCCGCGUGCAGGAAGAAGGCCUUCGGGUUGUAAACUGCUUUUGUACGGAACGAAACGGCUCUGGUUAAUACCCGGGGCUAAUGACGGUACCGUAAGAAUAAGCACCGGCUAACUACGUG
rnacentral:rRNA from 1 species